CAUCUCUGUUUGAACAUGCUGCUGGAGUCAGUUCCUUGAGAGAUUUGAACACUCCAGCUUUUAGGCGAAGGUCACAUCUUGUCGAAGAAGUCUGAACAUUUUUCCACCCAGAAGCCCUUAGUCUCUGUGUUUCGUAGUGGGAAUACCUGCUUGGAGGAGAUUGGGGAUCUUUGAGGCAUUCAAGAUUCUUACAAGUUUACUGAACACUGAUACCUGGAGAGGCUCUGGUUAGUUUAGAAUUUCCACCUUGAGAUAUUUCCUGAGACAUGAACAGUGAACUUCUGCAUGUCCCAGUGAGGCCCAGGCAAUUUUCAAAGUUUUACUCCUCAUUUCAGGAUAUAUCCUUAUGCCUCAUUAAGAAUAUGCCAUCAUUAUCAUUAUGUAAGUUUUUUCCUGAAGAAGACCUAAAAUCAAGAAAUUAAGGAUAUAAAUGAACAACAGUUACUUUUUAAACGGCCCAUUUAUACAAAGGUGAGGAGCUGCUCUGGUGGCCUCAGGUAGAUGGGACCAGCCCUGGGGAACAUUCCUCUGAUUGUGCCCUGCUGACCUUCCUCAGACAGGUCAUUGGAUAGGUUCCUUGUUAAAGUUGCACAAAAAGAAAAAGGUUCCAUUGAGCCAAUAGAUAGCAGUGAUUGUGCCAGUGAUAGCGAAAGUCAUCCUACACAAUAAACCUCCUCUCAUCUCCCUCACACCAGCCACAAGGGUUUUCAAAGGUAAGUGCAGGUUUAUUUUUCCUUAUAUUUUGUAUUUUAUUUAUUAUUUUAUGUUAUAUUACAGUAUUUUAAUCAUUUUUAUAUGAAUGUUUUUGAGUUGUGGAACGAAUCAUCCGAGUUUCUAUGAUUUCUUAUGGGGAAAUUUGUUUUGAUAUACAAGUGCUUUGCAUUACAAGCUUGUUUCUGUAAUGAAUUAUGCUAGCAAACCAAGGUUUUGCUGUAUUUGGAGAAUCCAUAGUGCAGAUCCGAUUGCACCAUAGUUGCUAAGAAUCAGGUAUGCUGCAUGCAGAAAUGAAUGGCCUCUGCCCUUCCCUUUCCCUGUAUCUGCGCUUUUCUUUCCCAUGUCCUCGCACAGCUCCUGCCUUACUCUUAGGUCUGUCCUCACAGAGCCCUCUCCUGAUCACCAGACCUGAAAUGGCCCCUGCUUUCCUCUAUGCCCGACCCUGGUUUAGGUUUCUUCAUAACAUUUAUUCAUUUAUCACAUUAUAAAAAUAUGUGUUUUUUUAAAAUUUUAAUUGUCUGCUGCUGCCUCCCUGACCUCUGUGCUACAACAUAUGAGCCCAGUGGGAACCAGGAAUCUAUCUGCUUUGCUCACCACAUUAUCAUUGAGUCGCUGCUUACUCAAUUAAAAUGUCUUGCUUCAUUUUUGCAAUAUAUAGCACUAGUGAUUUGGUAGUACAAACUACUUUUCAACUUUAUUUUCAUGAGAAGAAAUUCAAGAAAUUCAUGUUUUUGUACUAAUUUUUUUGUUUGAGAGUUCUUUUUGUAUCUAAGUAUAUUUUCUUUUCAAGAUUUUUUAAAGUUUAUUUAUUGAGAGAGAGAGAGAGAGAGAGAGAGAGAGAGAGAGAGGGAAGAAGGGACAAAGAGAGAGGGAGAGAGAGAAUCCCGAGCAGGCUUUGUGGUGACAGCCCAGAGCCAGACACGGGGCUUGAUCCCACGAACCUCGAGAUCAUGGCCUGAGCAGAAACCAAGAGUUGGACACUUAACCCACUCUUGCUUUAGGUAGUUACAUACAAGUGCACCUGUUAUCUAACUAUAUUUUAAACAUUGUACUAAUUGAUAAAUAUAGAAGACCUAUAUCAGAGUUUCUCAGAGAUUGGGAUUUGGAAUGUUUUCUUCCUCAUGUUUUUUUAUCUAUUUUUUGUUUAAGAAUUUUUUAUUUUUAAGUAAUCUCUACCCCUAACGUGGGACUCAAAUUUACAACGCUGAGAUUAGGAGUCACAUGCUCUACUGACUGAGCCAGUCAGGUGCCUCUGUUUUAUUUCUUGUUUUGUUUUAUGUUUCAAAUAUUUAUUUAGACCUUCAAACAUUGUACAUGAUCUAAAAUAUUCGAUUUUAAUAUUUUAAAUAUUAAAUAUUCAAUUUUAACUUUAUAGUAAUUAUAUAAAAACCCCACUGUUCCUAAGGAGCCAGCUUGCAAAGGGCAGGGAAUAAAAAGCCAGAAGGUGAUAUUAAGAUGGUGCCUUAUUCACCAUAUUCAAAAAGGAAUGAAAAUUACUUAAAUAUAAAAGAAAUCUUAUCUAAGAGGAAAAUAAAGAAUGACUUUUCUAAAAAGGAGACAUGUUUAAACCAUGUCUACCAUAAUAGUGGAGAUGUAAUACUGACCCUGAUAAUCAUAUCUUGUUCAUUCUUUACCAAAUUCUUUAGGCUUUUAAAUGUCAUUUUCUUGUAUUAGUUUAACCAAAAUCAUGGUCAGUCCACUAUCUGGACAUUUUCAUAGUGAUGACACUUGGAUGCAUCUAAUCAAAAUUCAACAACUAACUGUUAAUAAAGUAGAAAUAAAGCCGCUCCACUGCUCAUGCUCUGUUUCUGCCUCUCUCUCUCUCUCAAAAAUAAACAUUAAAAUUAAAAAAAUUUUUUUCAAAUGUUUAUUUUUGAGAGAGAGUCAGAGCAUGAGUGGCGGAGGGGCAGAGAGAGAGGGAAACACAGAAUCCGAAGCAGGCUCCAGGCUCUGGGCUGUCAGCACAGAGCCCGAUGCGCGGCUUGAACUCACGAACCGUGAGAUCAUGACCUGAGCCAAAGUAAGACAUUUAACGACUGAGCCACCCAGGUGCCCCAAACAGUAAACA